CGCGGGGUAGAGAAGGAGUAUCUCGCCAGUCUCAUAAGCUGGAGAACGUUGGUGCAAUUCCAACCCCCGCAA
rnacentral:tRNA from 1 species